GAGACAGCAGCCGCCGCGGUAAUACGUAGGGGGCAAGCGUUGUCCGGAAUUAUUGGGCGUAAAGCGCGCGCAGGCGGUUUUUUAAGUCUGGUGUCUAAGUGCGGGGCUCAACCCCGUGACGCACUGGAAACUGGGAGACUUGAGUGCAGAAGAGGAGAGCGGAAUUCCACGUGUAGCGGUGAAAUGCGUAGAGAUGUGGAGGAACACCAGUGGCGAAGGCGGCUCUCUGGACUGUAACUGACGCUGAGGCGCGAAAGCGUGGGGAGCAAACAGGAUUAGAGACCCCCGUAGUCCCUGUCUCUUAUACA
rnacentral:rRNA from 1 species